rnacentral:tRNA from 1 species
AGGGAGUGUAGUUUAUCUAGAAUAUUGCUUUUGUAAAGCAGUGGUGUGGCCUUGUCUGCUUCUUU